GACGUAGGGCGCGAGCGUUGUCCGGAUUUAUUGGGCGUAAAGAGCUCGUAGGCGGCUUGUCGCGUCGACCGUGAAAACUCACAGCUCAACUGUGAGCUUGCGGUCGAUACGGGCAGGCUCGAGUUCGGUAGGGGAGACUGGAAUUCCUGGUGUAGCGGUGAAAUGCGCAGAUAUCAGGAGGAACACCGGUGGCGAAGGCGGGUCUCUGGGCCGAUACUGACGCUGAGGAGCGAAAGCGUGGGGAGCGAGCAGG
rnacentral:rRNA from 1 species